GGGCGUAAAGAGCUCGUAGGCGGUUUGUCGCGUCUGUCGUGAAAGUCCGGGGCUUAACCCCGGAUCUGCGGUGGGUACGGGCAGACUAGAGUGCAGUAGGGGAGACUGGAAUUCCUGGUGUAGCGGUGGAAUGCGCAGAUAUCAGGAGGAACACCGAUGGCGAAGGCAGGUCUCUGGGCUGUAACUGACGCUGAGGAGCGAAAGCAUGGGGAGCGAACAGGAUUAGAUACCCUGGUAGUCCAUGCCGUAAACGUUGGGCACUAGGUGUGGGGACCAUUCCACGGUUUCCGCGCCGCAGCUAACGCAUUAAGUGCCCCGCCUGGGGAGUACGGCCGCAAGGCUAAAACUCAAAGGAAUUGACGGGGGCCCGCACAAGCGGCGGAGCAUGCGGAUUAAUUCGAUGCAACGCGAAGAACCUUACCAAGGCUUGACAUGUUCUCGAUCGCCGUAGAGAUACGGUUUCCCCUUUGGGGCGGGAUCACAGGUGGUGCAUGGUUGUCGUCAGCUCGUGUCGUGAGAUGUUGGGUUAAGUCCCGCAACGAGCGCAACCCUCGUUCCAUGUUGCCAGCACGUAAUGGUGGGGACUCAUGGGAGACUGCCGGGGUCAACUCGGAGGAAGGUGGGGACGGCGUCAAAUCAUCAUGCCCCUUAUGUCUUGGGCUUCACGCAUGCUACAAUGGCCGGUACAAUGGGUUGCGAUACUGUGAGGUGGAGCUAAUCCCAAAAAGCCGGUCUCAGUUCGGAUUGGGGUCUGCAACUCGACCCCAUGAAGUCGGAGUCGCUAGUAAUCGC
rnacentral:rRNA from 1 species